GCCAAAAACCUAGCCCAAAUGACAUGAAUUUUAUUAAACUAAUUCCCCAUUUUUAAUAAACCAUUCUAAUAUUCUAGUAGAGGAGAUUGAAAAAUUUAUUGGAGCUAUAACAGUAGUACCGCAAGGGAAAGGUGAAAUAUAAAAUGAAAAAUUUUUAAGCAAUAAAAAGUAAAGAUUACCCCUUGUACCUUUCGCAUCAUGGUUUAACUAGUUUAAUCAAGCAAAACGUAUUUAAGUUUGACUUCCCGAAACUAAGUGAGCUACUUCAGGGCAGCUGAAAGAGCAAACCCGUCUCUGUAGCAAAAGAGUGGGAUGACCUUCAAGUAGCGGUGACAGACCUAACGAACUUAGUGAUAGCUGGUUACUCAAGAAACGGAUUUAAGUCCAACCUGAAACUCAUCAAUCAAGUUUACCAAAACAACUACCUGACCUUCAGUGUAAUUCAAAUAAGGUACAGCCUAUUUGAAACAGGAUACAACCUAGACUAAUGGAUAAGACUGGCUUAAUUCACAAUUAAGUGGGCCUAAAAGCAGCCAUCUUCUAAAAAGCGUCAAAGCUUUAUUGUUUUAAUGCCUAAUUUCACAAACAUUCUCUUAAUCCUCUAAUAGUACUGAGUACUUUUAUAUAUCUAUAAAAAAUUUUAUGUUAAAACUAGUAACAAGAAGAAGACCUUCUCUUAAAUGUAAGUGUAUAUCAGAAAGGACAAACCACUGAUCUUUAACAUUUCUGAACUUAAAGUGGAAACUCACCAAGAAAACCCUACUUUCACCUAUGUUAACCUAACACAAGAACAUUUCAAGAAAGAUUAAAAGAAAAAGAAGGAACUCGGCAAAUAUUAACCUCGCCUGUUUACCAAAAACAUCGCCUCUUGUUGUAAUUAUAAGAGGUCCAGCCUGCCCAGUGACUCUGUUCAACGGCCGCGGUAUCCUAACCGUGCGAAGGUAGCGUAAUCACUUGUUCUUUAAAUGAGGACUAGUAUGAAUGGCACCACGAAGGUUACACUGUCUCCUUUUUUUAAUCAGUGAAACUAAUCUCCCCGUGAAGAAGCGGGGAUAAAACUAUAAGACGAGAAGACCCUAUGGAGCUUUAAACAACACAGCAUUUGUCUAAAAUAUUUAAACAUUUCAGAAUACUUUAACUUCUAUAAACAAUUAUAACUGUAAGUUUUCGGUUGGGGUGACCACGGAGCAUAAUACAACCUCCAUGUUGAAAGAAACAUUUCUAAAUUAAGAACCACCAGUCAAAGCAUCAACAUAUUGACAUCCAUUGACCCAAUAUACUUGACCAACGAACCAAGUUACCCUAGGGAUAACAGCGCAAUCCACUUCAAGAGCCCCUAUCGACAAGUGGGUUUACGACCUCGAUGUUGGAUCAGGGUAUCCCAGUGGUGCAGCCGCUACUAAAGGUUCGUUUGUUCAACGAUUAAAACCCUACGUGAUCUGAGU
rnacentral:rRNA from 1 species